rnacentral:rRNA from 1 species
CCUACGUGUGGCAGCCGUGGGGAAUAUUGCGCAAUGGGCGAAAGCCUGACGCAGCGACGCCGCGUGAGGGAUGAAGGCUUUCGGGUUGUAAACUUCUUUUCUCAGGGACGAAGAAAGUGACGGUACCUGAGGAAUAAGCCACGGCUAACUACGUGCCAGCAGCCGCGGUAAUACGUAGGUGGCAAGCGUUAUCCGGAUUUAUUGGGUGUAAAGGGCGUGUAGGCGGGAGCGCAAGUCAGAUGUGAAAACUCAGGGCUCAACCCUGAGCCUGCAUUUGAAACUGUGUUUCGUGAGUGCUGGGGAGGCAAUCGGAAUUCCGGGUGUAGCGGUGAAAUGCGUAGAUAUACGGAGGAACACCAGUGGCGAAGGCGGAUUGCUGGACAGUAACUGACGCUGAGGCGCGAAAGCGUGGGGAGCAAACAGGAUUAGAUACCCGGGUAGUC